AGUGUAAAACAAAGGAAUUUCCAAACACAUUGGGUUCAAAUAUAAACUCAUUAGAGUUUAAUCAAGAUAUAACAUUUUAGAAACUAGGUUGUUAGGCUCCUAGUAUUGCUACAACUCCUAGCUUUGAUGUUUCACAAGAAAACCCAUGUGAAGUCACUCUUCAUGGGCUAACACCAUGCAAUUAUCUCAUUGGCCGCUUCUUCCAUUACAACCAGAACUAUUAUUUGCACCAAAAUUAGAAAAUUAAAACAAUCCUUUAUACAUGGAGUAGACGAUGAAGUAACCAUGUUAAAAAUGAACAACUCUUUCAAAGAAUUUUCGAAGAACGAACAGGAGCUAAAGAAUGAAACAAUAUGCAAGAACACAACUUUUUUAACCUAAGGGGGCAAAGGAAUAAAUUUUGUGUUAAAAGAAGACUUAAAUUGAAUUGUAACUUAUUUAAAGGAUUAAAAGAACGAUUUAAUCAUUUGAACCUAAGGGUCAAGGCCCUACCUUACCUAGAAGUCCCCCCUGUCAAUGAUAGAUGAAGCAGAAGGUACCUAAAUUGAAAUUUUAAGCACUUCAAUUUUGUAGGGACAAAACAUGUCAGUUGUAUUACUGUAUGUCUCUCUACAAAUUCCUGUAUUAUUCUCUCAUUUUGUAAUCGCGAGGGGAGCUUGUGAUGUUGGGCGGCGGUCUUAAGGUCGAUCGCUGGCUUUCUGAUUCUUCCUGCUCCUUUUCUCUGCUCCACUAUGCCGGCUGUCAAACUUAGGGUCGGUGUCGAUCACCCUUUUCCUCCACCAUCCUCCACUUUCUUUUCUCAUCCCUUCCUCUUUCCCCCUCCUCCUUUUUUCUCCUUUCCCCUUCCUUGCUGCCUCUCGUGGUUGCUUUCGGUGUGGUCUUUUAAUGGGUUGCCGUUGCUGACCUCGCCGGAAACAGCUCUCUCGCUUUCUCCCCCUUCACUUUUUCCUUUUUCCUUCUCCUUCCUUACCUCCACUCCUACCUCCUCCUCUUGCCGACCAUCCUCUGUUUUUCCAGUAAGUUUGUUCAGAGUAAUAUAUCUAGCCUAGGGUCUCCCGUGGCUCCUCCCUAAGGAGUUCUCUCGAGUCGGUUUGUACUCGCUUCUUCCUUGACGCAAGCUUUCAAGCCUUGUGUGUGAAGGAUUUUCUCGGGCAUCCCUGGAUUGCUUGUUUUGCUAGAGGUUAGCUUGAAGCAUGUCCAUUGCAACGAAGGUGAGGACAUGACGAGGGUUCUAUGCAUAAUGGCGACUUCUCUAUUCUAAUGGUUGAACACGGACAUAUAGAUGCAGGUUUUCGUCUUUGCUUCCUUUUGUUAGGCAAUUGUGGUUUGAUCUAAGCGUAGUAUGCUGUUUUUCCAUAAUCGAAUUGUAAACCUUUGAAUCUUGUCUUGUUCUGCUUGUACAGUUUGUAUUAGACUUUCUAUAAUUUGUUUUUUUUUUUUUUAUCA